rnacentral:rRNA from 1 species
AAAUGAAUUGACGGGGGCCCGCACAAGCAGUGGAGUAUGUGGUUUAAUUCGAAGCAACGCGAAGAACCUUACCAGGGCUUGACAUCCCCAGAAGUCUUUCGAGAGAAAGAUGUGCCUUCGGGAACUGGGUGACAGGUGGUGCAUGGUUGUCGUCAGCUCGUGUCGUGAGAUGUUGGGUUAAGUCCCGCAACGAGCGCAACCCUUAUUGUUAGUUGCUAACAUUUAGUUGAGCACUCUAGCGAGACUGCCGUUGACAAAACGGAGGAAGGUGGGGACGACGUCAAAUCAUCAUGCCCCUUAUGUCCUGGGCUACACACGUACUACAAUGGCCGGUUACAGAGGGCAGCCAAGCCGCGAGGCGGAGCUAAUCCCCAAAACCGGUCCCAGUUCGGAUUGUAGGCUGAAACUCGCCUGCAUGAAGUUGGAAUUGCUAGUAAUCGCGAAUCAGAAUGUCGCGGUGAAUACGUUCCCGGGCCUUGUACACACCGCCCGU